rnacentral:rRNA from 1 species
CAGCAGCCGCGGGAAUACCAGCAGCCCAAGUGGUGGUCGCGUUUAUUGGGCCUAAAGCGCUCGUAGCCUGACCGGUAAGUUCCCCAUGAAAUCGGGUCGCCCAACGAUUCGGCUUGCGGGGAAUACUGUCGGUCUUGGGGCCGGGAGACGCCGAGGGUACUCCGGGGGUAGCGGUGAAAUGCUGUAAUCCUCGGGGGACUACCAGUGGCGAAGGCGCUCGGCGAUAACGGGCCUGACGGUGAGGGGCGAAAGCUGGGGGCGCGAACGGGAUUAGAUACCCCUGUAGUCCCUGUCUCUUAUU